CGUAGCAGAGACAACACGCAAAAUAAUCUAACUCAUAAUAAGCCAUGAAUCAGGAAUUUCCCUGAAUUGGUCUGGUAGGAAUUAAUAAUAAAAAUGGAUUAGAAGCAAUGGCGAAUAUUGUUGAGCUUAAUCAUGGAUCUGUUAAGGAUAAAUCCUAUUACAAGAAGUGCCACUGAUGUGGAAAUGAAUCAUGUAAUGAAUUGGCUUCGCAAUGCCGGUGACAGAGCAGGGGGCAGAUUGAAAAGAGCGGAGGAAAAAGAAGCAGGCAAUAAUGAGCAGUGAAUAAAUAUAUACUUUUUUUUCAAGUAAGCUAAUCGUUUUUAUGUGUUCUUUCAACCUACAAAGUAUUUAUAUAUGUAUAAUAUUAUAUGAGCGUUAUAUUUAAGUUGUUUGAAUAUAUGAAGGUUCUUUUCAA